CCUCUCAAAGACUCUGAGCUAGUCUCAUAUGUACUCGCUGGCCUUGGAUCCGACUAUGAUCCCCUUAUCACCUCUAUUACCACCUGCAUUGAUCCAGUUUCCCUUGAAGAUCUCUAUGGUCACUUAUUGACCUAUGAAC